CCUACGGGUGGCAGCAGUGGGGAAUAUUGGACAAUGGGGGCAACCCUGAUCCAGCCAUGCCGCGUGUGUGAAGAAGGCCCUCGGGUUGUAAAGCACUUUCAGUGAGGAAGAACGCCUGGUGGUUAAUACCCAUCAGGAAAGACAUCACUCACAGAAGAAGCACCGGCUAACUCCGUGCCAGCAGCCGCGGUAAUACGGAGGGUGCGAGCGUUAAUCGGAAUUACUGGGCGUAAAGCGCGCGUAGGUGGCUUGAUAAGCCGGUUGUGAAAGCCCCGGGCUCAACCUGGGAACGGCAUCCGGAACUGUCAAGCUAGAGUGUGGGAGAGGAAGGUAGAAUUCCCGGUGUAGCGGUGAAAUGCGUAGAGAUCGGGAGGAAUACCAGUGGCGAAGGCGGCCUUCUGGACUGAGACUGACGCUGAGGUGCGAAAGCGUGGGUAGCAAACAGGAUUAGAUACCCGAGUAGUC
rnacentral:rRNA from 1 species